GGAAGCCUGGAGAAAUGUCCUCUGUAGGAUAAGCGCCAGGAAGAGGAGAACAGCCAGGACAUAAUUGUCUUUGAGGAAAUCUCUUGAGGUAAACAGAAAACAUCAAAGCAUUUCAGACCAAGAUUUGCCAAAUUCACAAUGGAUAUACUGGGUGACAACUUCCAUUAAUCUCAGCCAAAAUAAUCUUUCGGAGUUACAAUGCAUCCACAUGGCGAUAUUCCAAGGAGACAUGGCUGACAACAUACUUGGAUGUUUGCGUUGUAGAAAAUCUGAGUCAUCUGUCAUCCUUGCCAAGUAAUAUUGUACUAAAUCAUAGUUGUUUGGCUAUGUAAUUUACUCCCCAUAA